rnacentral:rRNA from 1 species
GACAGAGGUGCCGAGCGUUAGGCGGAAUCACUGGGCUUAAAGCGUGUGUAGGCGGAUGCCUAAGUACCUUGUGAAAUCCCACGGCUCAACCGUGGAACUGCUUGGUAUACUGGGUGUCUUGAGCUGUCUAGGGGCUACCGGAACAGAUGGUGGAGCGGUGAAAUGCGUAGAUAUCAUCUGGAACGCCCAUGGUGAAAACAGGUAGCUGGGAGUGUGCUGACGC